rnacentral:rRNA from 1 species
CUUUCUCCGCCGGCGACCGGCGCACGGGUGAGUAACACGUAUGCAACCUGCCCCUGUCAGGGGGACAACCCGCCGAAAGGCGGACUAAACCCGCGUACAUGCCACCGGGGCAUCCCGGAGGCAGAAAAGGCUUCGGCCGGACAGGGAUGGGCAUGCGGCGCAUUAGGAAGACGGCGGUGUGACGGACCACCGUUCCGACGAUGCGUAGGGGUUCUGAGAGGAAGGCCCCCCACACUGGUACUGAGACACGGACCAGACUCCUACGGAAGGCAGCAG